UACGGAGGGUGCAAGCGUUAUCCGGAAUCACUGGGUUUAAAGGGUGCGUAGGCUGUUUUAUAAGUCAGCGGUGAAAGGUGUCGGCUCAACCGACGAACUGCCGUUGAUACUGUUUAACUAGAAUUGGGAUGAGGUAACUAGAAUGUAACAUGUAGCGGUGAAAUGCUUAGAUAUGUUAUAGAACACCAAUUGCGAAGGCAGGUUACUGGACCUUGAUUGACGCUGAGGCACGAAAGCGUGGGUAGCGAACAGG
rnacentral:rRNA from 1 species